rnacentral:rRNA from 1 species
ACAUCCAGCGAACUUGGCAGAGAUUGCCUUGGUGCCUUCGGGAACGCUGAGACAGGUGCUGCAUGGCUGUCGUCAGCUCGUGUUGUGAAAUGUUGGGUUAAGUCCCGCAACGAGCGCAACCCUUAUCCUUUGUUGCCAGCGAUUCGGUCGGGAACUCAAAGGAGACUGCCGGUGAUAAACCGGAGGAAGGUGGGGAUGACGCCAAGUCAUCAUGGCCCUUACGAGUAGGGCUACACACGUGCUACAAUGGCGCAUACAAAGAGAAGCGACCUCGCGAGAGCAAGCGGACCUCAUAAAGUGCGUCGUAGUCCGGAUCGGAGUCUGCAACUCGACUCCGUGAAGUCGGAAUCGCUAGUAAUCGUGGAUCAGAAUGCCACGGUGAAUACGUUCCCGGGCCUUGUACACACCGCCCGUCACACCAUGGGAGUGGGUUGCAAAAGAAGUAGGUAGCUUAACCUUCGGGAGGGCGCUUACCACUUUGUGAUUCAUGACUGGGGUGAAGUCGUAACAAGGUAAGCGUAGCGAG